rnacentral:rRNA from 2 species
AGCAUCCGUAGCCGGUUGCAUAAGUUUUCGGUUAAAUCUAUGCGCUCAACGUAUAGGCCGCCGAAAAUACUGUGCAGCUAGGGAGUGGGAGAGGUACACGGUACUCAGUAGGAAGGGGUAAAAUCCUUUGAUCUAUUGAUGACCACCUGUGGCGAAGGCGGUGUACCAGAACACGUUCGACGGUGAGGGAUGAAAGCUGGGGGAGCAAACCAGAUUAGAUACCCGGGUAGUCCCAGCUGUAAACGAUGCAGACUCGGUGAUGCAUUGGCUUGUGGCCAAUGCAGUGCCGCAGGGAAGCCGUUAAGUCUGCCGCCUGGGAAGUACGUACGCAAGUAUGAAACUUAAAGGAAUUGGCGGGGGAGCACAAGCC